rnacentral:rRNA from 1 species
UCAGGAGUGAACGCUAGCGACAGGCUUAACACAUGCAAGUCGAGGGGCAGCAUAAAAGUAGCAAUACUUGGUGGCCGACCGGCGCAGGGUGAGUAACGCGUAUGCAACCUACCUAUCAGAGGGGAAUAACCCGGCGAAAGUCGGACUAAUACCGCAUAAAACAGGGGCACCGCAUGGUGAUAUUUGUUAAAGAAAUUCGCUGAUAGAUGGGCAUGCGUUCCAUUAGGUAGUUGGUGAGGUAACGGCUCACCAAGCCGACGAUGGAUAGGGGAACUGAGAGGUUGGUCCCCCACACUGGUACUGAGACACGGACCAGACUCCUACGGGAGGCAGCAGUGAGGAAUAUUGGUCAAUGGGGCGGGAGCCUGAACCAGCCAAGUCGCGUGGAAAAGGAAGAAGGAUCUAUGGUUACGUAAACUUCUUUUGCAGGGGAAUAAAGUGCAGGACGUGUCCUGUUUUGUAUGUACCCUGAGAAUAAGGAUCGGCUAACUCCGUGCCAGCCGCAGC